CACGGGGGGAGCAAGCGUUGUUCGGAAUCACUGGGCGUAAAGGGCGUGUAGGCGGUCAAGUAAGUGGAAUGUGAAACGCCCCGGCUUACCCGGGGACCUGCAUCCCAAACUGCUUGACUUGAGUAUGGGAGAGGAUGAGGGAAUUCCUGGUGUAGCGGUGAAAUGCGUAGAUAUCAGGAGGAACACCGGUGGCGAAAGCGCUCAUCUGGCCCAAUACUGACGCUGAGGCGCGAAAGCUAGGGGAGCGAACAGG
rnacentral:rRNA from 1 species